rnacentral:snRNA from 1 species
GUGCUUGCUUCUGCAGCACAUAUACUAAAAUUGGAAGGAUACAGAAAAGAUUAGCAUGGCCCCUGUGCAAGGAUGACAUGCAAAUUAGUGAAGCCUUCCAUAAUUUU